rnacentral:rRNA from 1 species
AUUGAACGCUGGCGGCAUGCUUUACACAUGCAAGUCGAACGGUAACAGGCCGCCAGGUGCUGACGAGUGGCGCACGGGCGAGUAAUUCAUCCGAACGUGCCCAGUCGUGGGGGAUAACUACUCGAAAGAGUAGCUAAUACCGCAUACGAUCUAUGGAUGAUAUCGGGGGACCGUAAGGCCUCGCGCGAUUGGAGCGGUCGAUGUCCGAUUAGGUAGUUGGUGGGGUAAAGGCUCACCAAGCCAACGAUCUGUAGCUGGUCUGAUAGGACGACUAGCCACCCUGGGACUGAGACACGGCCCAGACUACUACGGGAGGCAGCAGUGGGGAAUGUGGGACAAAGGGCGCAAGCCUGAUCCAGCAAUGCCGCGUGCGGGAAGAAGGCCUUCGGGUUGUAAACUGCUUUUGUACGGAACGAAACGGCUCUGGUUAAUACCCGGGGCUAAUGACGGUACCGUAAGAAUAAGCACCGGCUAACUACGUG